GACUGGGAUGUAACCAUGGUAUAUUCAUAAACUGGUGUUCUGGUUGGUAAAUGAUUCUCUUGUCAGUUUUCUUGGUGUGAGUCAGUGCUCCAGAGUUGGUGAACUCUAGGUGAACUGUUGAGAUCAAGUUUCUGUAUCUGCAAAACUGAAGAUCAGACUUUGGACUGUGGCAACUGAAAAUAGACUGAAUCUGAGAGGUGAAGCCCAGCUAAAAAGAGAGCUCAUCAUCACCCACUAACGGGUCAAAAUCUACAGUUUGAAGAGUCCUGCAAUGUGGAAGGAAUGUGCAAGCAGGAGUGAGAAUCCUGAGUUCCUUGUUGCUCCACUUUUGAAUGGAAACCUGUACUCUCACCAUCAAACCAAGGUGAUAGGAUUAAAUCAGAUCAUCUCCACGGCCUCUGUUUCAGUGGAUUGAGGAUUUCCCACCUUGAUACUGGUGAUUUUUCCUCAUCAGGAUUCUGUGACGGGGCACCUGUCUUAGCAGACGACCAGAAAACUCAACACAGGACCAUUGUGCACUUACCUUCUCUGCCAAGGAAAAAAAAAGGUAACGGUUUAAGCAUACUUCCCUUCCACUCUACACUUUAUCACUAUAC